CCAAUAAAUUCAAGUUCUUGCUCUUGCUUACGACCAGCUUCCGGGUCCUGCCAGGUCUGCAGAAAGGAAUGGUGUGGAUAGCCCUUCGCUAUGUACUAUGAGGCUGUUCAUCACUGUUAGCCUCGCUCUUUGGGCUGUCCCCUCUCCAGACCAGCCAAAUAGGUCUCCGAUCUAAUGCGGGUCGCCUGGGGCCAGUUCUCUCUCCAGCUAUCGAAAUGUCCUAACCCCCUCUGCUGCUGGGAGCCCGUCUGAAAUUGUCUGAAGCCAGUGGCAUUUCCGCGCAGAAGGAAAGGCGAGCCGGCGACGUGGGCGCAGGUGCGGGGGAGCGGCUCAGCCAGCGCCCCGGAACAGCGCGGCCCCCGCAGGGUGUGGAGCCCGCCUGGCGUCCGUGGCUCCGGGUGGGCUGCAGGAGAGCGGAGGCCGGGGAUCUGCCGCGGGUUCCCUGAGCCCUGAAGGGAGGGCUCUGAUGAUGAUGUCCUGUGGAGAACUGAGUGUUCCAAGGUCUCUCGCUCUGCAUGUCUGACUGUGGGUCCCUGGAUUUGUUCCAUCUGCUGCAGGAGGAAGCUUCUCUGAUGAUGGCUGACCCCGAUCUCUUAAUAAAGCCAUUUCUAUCUGCUGAAGUAGCAAGACUUCUACUCCUCGCUGUCCAACUUCCUGUUUCCUGAUAUCCCGUCAUCCACUCUUCAAAUUAAUAUGUGCAAGUUCUCCGUGGGGAUGGAUACACACAGGUAUCCGGGUGGGUGUGGGCUAAAGUGCCCUUCCAUUUUCAUCAAAGUUUCAGCUUUAACCAUUUUGGGCAAUUUCGAAUUGUAUUCUUAAAAUGUUUUCAAGGAGCGGGGCAGUGGUGGCACUUGCCUUUAAUCCCAGUACUUGGGACGCAGAGGUGGCCUCCUGUGCCAUUGACAUGUGCAGGGUGGGUGGUGGUGGCAGGGGGAGGACGAAAGAGAAAUGUUUUGAGCAGAGGUCUGGAGGUGGGAUACACAAACGAGACUUUAACAACAGAACCUUGAAGGAAUUUGGUUCUAGAAACCCGAAAUGAAGGUUCUUUCUCACCCGAAUGACACUGUCUCUGUAUCUAAAUCCAGUACAACUCUGAUCCCACAGGAGCCGGAUUUACCAUCCGAAGGCCAUCCGUCACUCAGGCAGCCCCAAGUCUCUUCUCACCCUCCUCCCUCAUUCCCUACACAUUUUCCAUCUGGACAGAGCGGCUGUGCAAGCUUGGCUGGCGCCAAGCAUUGCUCGCACGCCUCCCUCAGGAGUUAUGGUCAUUAAGAAAUUCUCAUAACUAGCACGUUGGCUCCAAAGCACCCAGCCUUCCCUGCCGGUCUCGGUCUCGGAAGCCAGCUUUCAGGCUCCGCCCUCUCUCAUCUCAGACCAGGCACCACCUUCCUACUGUGGGAAUUGCCUUGGCUUCCCUUCUCCGCUUCCUUCCUCUGCGAGCCCUCCUUUCCGGAAGUCUAGCGAAGGCUCAAGGCCAAGGGGAAGAAACAGCAAUGCUCAAUCAGUUCUGCUGCGUAAAGUGUGAACUGUCUCAGCACGCAGACCUAACAUGCCUCUUAUCCCUAGGCCGGUUCCAUUUUCCGUUUCUAAUUUUAGCUCUCUUUCUUCAGGCCCCGGGAGUGAGAGUACCCCCAGGGCUGCCCGUUUGCUCACCACCACUGGAGAACUCUAACUCAGGGCCGAGGGCGCAUUGGUGGUUCUGUAGCAAGGGGCCUCGUGAACUGAAUGGGGACCUAAGAGUUAUUUCUUGAGGUUUGCUGUGCCCGACCUCAGUGACAGCCAGAGCUUCUGAGGCUUGGGUGCUGAGAAGACAUGGCUUCUGGAGGCUUUCCUGUGGCACGGGCAUUCCCCAGAGUCCCACAGUUCCCUCCAUCUCUCCCUUUGCUGCUCCAUGGUAAUUCUUCAUGAAACUCAGAACUGGUGUGUUCUUUCUCUUCCCAAAUUUACUUUGAUUACUCAGGGUUCCCUUUCUGCUACUGACACUGGCUUCUUCUGAGGAACUCUGAAGAGGAAAUGCUGGCUGGACGUCCUCUUCCCACCACACCAACUGGCCACACCCUGUGUAUGCCAUGGUCUCUGCCUUGCAGCCCUCCUCCUUACAGACCUUAGUUUUCAACGGAGACUUUGGUCUGCUUACAAUGAGUGGCAUUUCUCCUUAGCUCACCCUUGUUUAUCUAGGUUUAAUCAUAGGUGCACAGAUAGAGCAAGGCACUACUUCUCAGUGACUCACCCAAUCAUCACAGUUCUGCUAUCUUUAAGCAGUGCCAGUGGUUUAUGAAGACCUUUGUAGCCUUACCUCAAAAGAGCCUAACAUGUCUCCAUACAGUGAGACUCAUUAUCCGGUGGACGACUUAUUCUGAUAACAACUAUAAUGUCAGUGGUGGGCGGGCGGCAGGUGACUGUGUAUACACACACACACACACUAUAUAUAUAUACUCAGCCAGCCAGGUGCACGGUGCAGCCCUCCAAAAAUCUACUGGCUGUCAUUUAAUCAAGCAACUUUCCCACCUACUAUUCAGAUACUAAUUCUAGUUUCCUUUUUCUCUGUAAGGAUGGACAGGAACCUUAUGUAAAUGGUAACCUCAUUUUUCAUUUCCCUUUCCCUAAGAACUAUUGUAUCCAAAGCCAUGAAACUUUGUAGUCUAGGAACCAGUCAGGGCAGUCCUAAGGAGCCAAUAGCCUCCCUUACACCUUUGGAGUCUUAAUUCUAAUGUCUCUCUUCCAAGGCAGUAAAUUCAGGGAGCAGGGACCGGCGCCCCAGGCCUUCCACCAAAUCCAGGGCUAGGGGCAGAAACACAGCAAACAGGGCAGCACACUUGAGCCUUGGCCUGCCCGGAUAGUGAGUCAGCAGCCUGUGGUCAGCCCUCUGGCUCCCCUCCCCUCCGCUGGGCAGUGGGAGAAAGUGCUGAGUCGUACACCUUUAAGACAACCAUCGGUCUCCACAGACCCCAGAGGGCUAGGCGGCCUUAAAUCUGAGCCUAGCCUUUAUUGAGAGGCCCAGCACCCACCAGCCAGCAACAAACCUCUCUUUAGAGCUCCCAGCUAACAGCCUCCCUCAAGGAGGAUCUUGGAGUCAGGGGGUGGGGGUAAGGGUGUCAAUGCUCAUACCUGCGCAGGCGCACCGCCCACUUCCGGGCCAUUGAUGGAAGUGGAGCCGGGCGUCAUCCAUUUUACCCCAUGCAGGUUUCCAGCCACGAGGCCAAUAGUGGCAGGAGGAUGGGAGCUGCACCUUUUAGCUAGGGCUUGAAUUGGCUUGCACAGAGCCGGUGAGGUGAUGUCAUAGCUAAGCUAUUCUCUCUAAUCUGUAUGAGAAGUUUUAUUCAAAAAAAUUAGCUGAAGGGGAAAGUAAAGAAAGCAAACCAACAACAACAAUGACAACCUCAGAGACAGCCUGUUUUUGCUGCCUGCCUGCCAAGGACUGAAGCCAUGAGGCAGCCAGUCCCUGCAGAGGAGAAAGACAGCUGCAGGGCUUCAGGUGAAGAGUCAGCGAAUUUCCACAGGCCCUGCUGCCACAGACCGCAAAGAGGUUUCAAACAAUGAUUCACUUCAUGAUGCGUGUGUACAUGCGUGUACGUGUGCAUGCAUGCACGUGUGCCUGUUCCUCUCAGAGCCUAAGAGGUAAAGGCGGGAGGGUGGGCAUGACGGGAAUUGAAGUGUCCUCACGCGGCUGCAGAGCAGGCAGGGGCAUACUUACUGCGCAGAUUAAUGAAAACGUUUCUCUGGCAGGAGGGGUUUGAUUGCCCCACUGCAAAAUUGCUUGCAGAUUCGAAAACAGCAUGUUUCAUUUCAAACCCGUUCUCUCGUCAUACAUUAGCACUUGUCAAUGUAACCAUUAAGCGCAGGCAGUGGAGAAAUUUAAUUACAAAACCAUUUAUUUUAUUGAAAGAAAAAUAAACCCAAGCUACCUCAAAUGCAUUAGGUAGGUUCAAAACAUGUUCAGCUGAUAACACCCAAGGGUAGGGAGGCUGCUGCAGGAAUAAAUGCUUCUUUCAUGUGUGCUGAGGACUCGAUAUUAGAAACAGCUGCCUAUAGGUUGCUCUUUAUUUACAUUCAAUUAUGAAUUAAGAAACAGCUGAUUUAAUGAAGGGACUUUUUAUAUCUGAAGUCACUGGCCUGUGGUUUUCAUGCUCACUCCAGUCUUGCCUCCCCUUUUAGUCACUGGAAUUAAACAUGUUAAUGAGGCGAGCCAGAAUGUUUUAUUGAAUGGGUUUCCCCCUUCUGCACCUCCACCCCCAUUUCAGACUUGUCUUUUGUUCCCCUAAUGGUGGAGGAAUGCAAGGGCUGUGGUAUUAAAGGAAGUCACAAAAAAAUGUGCUAAACACAUCAAAAAGUCCCCAAUCUGUAUCUUAUUUAUGCCUCUUCCCAUGCUUGUCCUCUCUGAAUUUGGAAAUCGGGAGAGCACAGGUCACUGGUGAAAGGCUGGAUUUGGGUCAAGCGGUGGGCUGAUGUCACACUGCAAAGUGCCUGUCCUUAGCGCUAAUGUGCUGCCAAUAGAGUCUGCUGUACUAUUCUGCCAGGGAUGGGGGUUAUAGCCUCAGCGGUUUGGACCGAUUUGUCAAUAUUAAAAAGCCCACCCCCGCCCUUGUCUGAGAUACCUACCCCCAAUUUUGCAGACAUUCCCCACACAAUCCACUUGGAGGAAGAAUCUGGAAAGAGAAGUUCCUUUUAUUUUAAUUUCCCCAGUGACAAUACGAACGUCUAAGGUUUCUAGAAGGUAUCGUUUGCUCAUAUGCCUGGGGGGGGGGCGGGGAGCGUCUACUGAAAAAACAUUUUUAGCUCUUGUAACUAAACCCACGUACAGCAGCAGACCUACGUGCCCUUGUCCCAGUGAGGGUCCUACAUGUGUCCUUACCUCCUUGGAGGGCUUCCUGACCUAUUUCAGAGGGGGCUUGGACCCCUGGAGCAUCCUGGAGAACCACUGCCAGUGCUCAGGGACACCAACUCACAACGAGGCACUAAGACACCUCCCUAGGAAUAAGGUCUGAGCAGACAUUGGACACAUGGUGACCUCAGGCCCAGGUCUUCUGUUCUGUUCCUAACACAUGCUCAGCAUCCCAAAGACCCUAGGAAUCUGGGGCAGGAAAAACAUGUUCAGAAAUAGAGCAACUUACUACUCCAGGCAGCCAGUCCUUAACCAGCAGUCUACUAGGGGGAGUGAUAGAAGGGCCAAUCAAAGAAGCCCGGUUGAUGCACUGUUGUAGACUUUCUCAGCAUCACUGUACCAGCAAAAGUACCUACUAAUACCAUGUGGUUCUGCUGAUGUCUCUUCCUGCCUUAGCUUCAAGCUUCUCUUCUGGGGUUACAAGUUCAUUUUCUAUUUUGUAAUGUUCCCCAGGCCUGGACUUCAGGCUGUGGCAUUUAAAAAAUAUAUAUUAUAUUUAUAUAUAUAUUAUAUAUUUAUAUAUACACACAUUUAAUAUUUAACAUCAAAAUCAAUUUAAUCAUUCAACUAGUCAUUAAUUAUUAAUCAUACUAUUAGCCAUAAUAAUCAUCAAUAGUUGAUUAAUGACACCUACUAAUAAUAACAACUAAUAACAGACAGUUGUUGAUAUUAAUAUUAAAUAUUAAUAUAUUAAAAUCUGUUUAAUACACAUAAUCCUAACUUUAGAAAUAGUAGUAUUAAAAAAACUUAAGUAAUGUAAGAAUGACCCCAUUUUUCAGGACAGGGUUUCCCUGUGUAGCCCUGGCUGACCAAGAACUCACUCUGUAGACCAGGCUGGUCUUGAAAUCCCAAGUGCUGGGAUCAAAGGUAUGCACUACUAUGACCCAGCAAGAAUGACUUUAUUUUUAUGGUCUUCUUUAUUAGUAAGAAGUCAAUUUCCAGAGAACAGGAUAGGUUUCUUCUCCUAAGGGUGUCGUGACAAGGUGGAUGGAGCAGGCACAUUCUUCUGAACAUCCUUGGCCCAAAAGCAAGAGGAAGGUGGGAUGGGCCUGCAUGUACAGAGCCUGCUGGGCAGUGUGAGAGGACAGCAUGCCCAAGAAACAGGGCAGGCAGACACUUUACUUAAGCAUCUGUCUCACAGUCAAAGACACUCCUUUUCCCUAAGGGACUUUGGUACCCAUAGUCAGAUCAUGAGAGUUACCACUAGACUAGUGGUAACAGGGCCAGCCCUUCAAAUGGAGCGCUUUUGCGCUCGCUCUCUCUCUUUCUCUCUCUUUCUCUCUCUCUCUCCUCUCUCUCUUCUCUCUCUCUCUUUCUCUCUCUCUCCUCUCUCUCUUCUCUCUCUCUUUCUCUCUCUCUCCUCUCUCUUCUCUCUUCUCUCUUCUCUCCCUCCUCUCUCUGUCUCUGUCUGUCUCUGUCUGUCUGUCUGUCUGUCUGUCUCUCUCUCUCUCUCUCUCUCUCUCUCUCUCUCUCUCUCUCUCUCUCCUGGUCUUUCAUCCAGACUCAUCUCUCUUCCUCUGCGAUCUGCAGAGCUGAGCUGAUAACAUAAUUUUAGUAUUUGAUUAUAACCAUUUAUUGACAACUAUGUCUUGGAUAUUUUUUACAUGCUGGGGUACUAUGCAUGCAUUGAAAGAGCAAUCGAGGUGAGGAUAGAUUUUUAAUCAUGUUAUAUUCGAAAUCAUGAUAUUGCACAGUUCAUAUGUACACAUCUCAUUCUUACAGAUGUCUACUGCACUUAAAACUUGAGUUGUAGCCUCAAGCUUGAAUGGAAGAUAGAGUUAGCAGAACAUAAAUAACUCAGUCUAAUGAAUGACUGCGUUGGUGAGCUGGAAGAUUAAUCAACAGAAAUUAUCCUGUCUAAAGACGAGAGACAAAAAAAGAUUGGAAAAAGAAGAGCAGCUUCAGUGCAUGUGGGACAAUGUCCAAAGUAUAUAGUUAAUCGCAGUUCCAGAUGGAAAGGACAAAAAUAAUGAGGCAGAAAUAUAUUUGAAAAAAUACUGGCUGAAAAGCUCCCAUAUUGAAAGAUGGGGAUUAUACAUCCCAAACCAAAAUAUACCCUAAACAGACACAUUAUGAAUAAAACUUCAAUAUCAUUUUUAAACUGUUGAAAGCUAAAAACAAAGAAAAAUCUUGCAAAAUAAAAUGCAUCGAAAAUAAAAUGCUACGUACAUGGUGAUGACACUUCCUAUGUCUGUGGACUUACUGUGAAGGGACGGCAGGUAGACAAUAAGGCAAUAAGGUAUAAUGUUAACUAAGUGCUCUGGGUAAAUCCAAGGGUGUUCACUGUAAUCACCAGGUCAUUUAAAGGAAUUAAAGAUGCUAUGGCUAAAAAAAAAUUAGCAAAUAAGUUAAAAAAUAUAAAAGACAUUCGAGCCAUCCAAAAGAAGUUAACUAGAAAAUAUCAUCCUGAGUGAAAUAACCCAGGCACCGAAAGACACCAACGGUGUGUACUCACUUGUAAGUGGACAUUAGCCACAAAGUGCAGGACAGCCAUGCUGUACUCCACAGGCCCAGAGGAACUGAGAAAGGAGGGCCCAAGGGAGGAAUGAAAUAGACAUCAGAAGUGAAUGGAGAAAGAGAAGUGGGUGGGAGAGGGGAGGGAAGUUGGUAGGGGCAUCUCUGGGGCAAGCCAGAGACCUGGGAUGGGGGAAGCUUCCGGAAGGAUAUGGGGGUGACCCUAGCUGCGACUCCUGGCAACGGGGAUAUGGAACCUGAAGUGACCACCUCCUAUAGCCAGGCGGGACUUCCAGUGGACAGAAGAGGACACUAACCCACCCACAAAACCUUUGACCCAAUAUUUGCCCUGCCUACAAGAUGUGCAGGAACAAAGGCGGAGCAGAGAUUGAGGGAGUGGCCAACCAAUGGCUGCUCCAACCUGAGACCCAUCCCGUGGAGAGAGCCAACCCCUGACACUACUAAUGACACUCUGCUAUGCUUGCAGACAGGAGCGAAGCAUGACUGUCAUCUGAGGGGCUUCACCCAGCAGCUGAUGGAAACAGAUGCAGAGACCCACAGCCAAACAUCAGACAGAGCUCAGGGAGUCUUGUGGAAGAGUCAAGGAAAGGAUGGAGGGAGUCUGAGGGGUCAAGGACACCACAAGAAGACCACAGAGUCAACUAACCUGAGUCCAUGGGAGCUCAUAGAGACCAAACGACCAACCAAAGUGCACGCAUAAACUGUACCUAGGCCCCCUACACAUAUGUAGCAGAUGGCAGCUUGGUCUUCAUGUGGGUCCCCAACAUGAAGCAGUGGCUGUCUCUGACUCUGUUGCCUGCCUUUGGAUUCCUUUCCCUUAGCUGGGCUGCCUUCUCUGGCCGCAUUGGGAGAGGAUGCACCUAGUCCUGGUGAAGCUUGAUGAGCCAGGGUUGGUUGGUACUUAGAGGGGCCUCCUCUUCUCUGAGAAAGAGAGGAAAGGCAACUAGGAGAAGGGGGGGUGAGAGGGUUGGAUAGGAGGGGAGGAGGGAGGGGGCUUCAAGAUUGAGAUGUAGAGUGAAUAAAUGAAAAAAGUUAAAAGGAGGGGGGUGUUACAGAAAAUCUUAAUUCCAAUCUGUGAUUUCUACCCUACCUUUGACCAUUUAGUUCCCAGAUAAAAGACACACAAAGUUUACUAUUUACAAUGAGCCUUAAUCAGCACAAGAGCUGGGCAGAUAUCUACCCUCUAUGCUAUUAGAAUCUACUUUCUUAUCAAUAACCCUAAGUUAUUGCUUACUGUAUUUUAUCUGGGCUGCUCUUAAUUCCAACUGGCCAAUUCUCAGGGCCGUGCUUUCUUGAUUCCUAAGGCAUGGUGUCUCUCUCCCUCAUGGUUCCCCCAUGCCAACCCCAGGAACCCUGAACCCCACCUAAGUCUCUUCUUCCCAUCUAUUGCUUGUCAGCCUCUUUAUUUGCCAAUUAGAAAUAACUUGGGGGCAAGGUCAUAUAGCUUCACUUGGACCUAUGUGCAGACCCUCUCUGUCCUCUCUUCAGGUCUUGGGGGCCAGCACUUAGCAUUACAAUGCAUAGCAAAAGACCCAAGCUCAACAGAGGUGGGUGGAGUUGGGGUAGAGGAACUAAAAACUGCUAUUAAAAAAGACUUCUAUCAGUGGGGGCUGGUGUGUCUCUCCCUCUUUUGCCUUGAGACUCUUUUUCUCCUAUCAGGUGGCCUUGUCCAGCCUCAAUAUGAGAGCUUUCACCUUGCCCUAUUUUAUCCUGCUUUGUCCAGUUUGUUUUUGAGGCCUGCUCUUCUCUGAAGAAAAAACAAAGGGGGGGGGGGAAGGGGGAUUAAGAGUGGAGGGAGGGGAAACUGAGAUUGGGAUGUAUUAUAUAAGAGAAUAUAUUUCAAAAAAAUUAAAAUAGAGGGAGGAAAUCACCAGAACAGAUUUUUUUAAUGUACUGACCAAGGAGAUUAACUUAAAGAGUCAAUUAGCAAGGAAGCCAUGAGAAUUCUAAGUGCCUGUGUGCCUAAGAAUGGAGUUUCAAAUUGGGCUCCUGGUUCACUCUCAAAUCUUAGCUAGUUGAGAGGCCGAGGUGGGCGACCAUAAGCUCGUGGCCAAGCUUGGGUAAUUUAGUGAGAUCCUUUCUCAAAUAAAGUUUAAAGAGGAUUUGGGACUUAGCUCUGUGGUAGAGGUCUUGGCCAACACAUGUCAGGCCCUAGGUUCAAUCCCCACUGCUAGGGCUUAGGGGAUAGUAAGCCUUACAAUACAUGAGGCAAAAGUUGACAGAAUAAAAGGAGAAGCUGAAAUCAUUACAAGUCUAGUAGGGUGAAUAAUCUCUUCUUUGCAAAAAUGAUAUAGUGCAGGAUAAAAAAUUCACUGAAGUCAUAGAGGAUUUCAACAACAGCAUCAGCACCUCACCCUAUCUGGUUCUCAGGAAAAAUAAUUCAACAGCUGGCUAAUAUGCGUUCUUUCCAAUUGCACAAAUUCAUCAAGAAAGACUCUGGUCUAGUGGAAUCAAAGGGUUGAAGUAAUAGGAUUGUGUAUCUGUGAUCAUAAUGUGCUUGGCACUAUUCAACGUGCUGGCAACUUAAUGAAGAACAAGAAGGCAAGGUUCUUGCUAGUGUGACUUAUAUCCCAGCAGGGACAGCAGACAAGAAUCAGGCCCAAAAAGAAGGCCACAUAUCCUUAGUGCUUGAGUGGAAUAAAUUGAAUAUUGUGACAGGCUUUAAUAGGGCGAUUCUCAGGCUAAGGAGGGUUUGUCAGAAUGAAAGAGGGAACAGAAAAUUUAAAACUAUAGUAGAAUAUUUGAACAUCCCCUUCUCUAUAAUAAGUUAUCUGGGGAGGGAAAAACCAAUAUUAGCAAACAAAACCACACUUAUAAGCAGUGUACAGGCAAAAGAAGAAAUCGGACGUUAUAAGAUGUUUCAAACUUAAUGGCAUGAAUAUACAGAAGCUGUGAGAUGUAGCUAGAACUACUUCAAGGAAUUUUUAUGUUAAAAAAAAAGAAAGACAUAAGACACUGUUUCAUCCUAAAUCCAGAAUAAACCAAAGUUGACAGAUAAAACAAUAGAGGUAAGAACAACAAAAUCAAUGUAAUAUUAAACAGAUACACCACACAGAAAAUUAACAAAACCUAUUGGUUCUUUCCAAAGAAUUGUAUCUUUCUAAAAAGAUGAAUUCUGUAACACUGCUCAAAAACAGAUGACAAAAAUUGGUAAUAUCAGAAACAAAGAGGAGUUAUCACUAUAGAUUUUUAUAGAUCUUAGGACAAUAGAGUACUUAAAAAUGUUAUAAAGAACUUACAUCAGUGACUUCUAUGAAAUGGAGACAUUUAAUAUAUAUUGUAACACUAUAAUAUAUAUUGUAAUACUAAUUGUAGGCUUAGAUUUUUCAAGCCCUACUUCAGUAAGGGUUCUCAAAUGUUUCAACCUCCCUUCUAGUCCACCAUCCAAAGGUAGGGGAGAAGAGAUGGAAAAGAGAACAAGGAUAUGUGGGCCUGUUUAGAAUUAGAUCUUUGGGGCGAUGCCAAUCAUCAUCAUCAGGACACUAGCAGUCCAGAUCAGUAGGGUCAGGAUACCAAGCAGCAGUGGAACAAUGCAGCAGAAACAGCCAGGCCUCUGCCAAAUCCACGUGACCAGAACCAGCCAGGACACCAGAAGAACUUCUCUGCUAUGCUUCUCUCAAGAAGCAAAGAUGUAAAACCAACAAAGCUUUGCAAGGCUGGCUAUGCAAGUGCCCAGCCAUCGUCUGUUGAGUCCUACUCUCUCCAAACAUCAUGUGAGUCUGCAUCACAUGACACAACGAGAAAGUUCUACUUCAACUAACACUUGUACAAAAUAAAACGGAAAACUUGAAUUCUAGACUCUAGGUAAUGUCGUAAAUUUUAUUCCAUAACCAUUCAAACAAGAAAUAAUACCAAACUUAUACAAACUUUUUAAAAAAAAAAGUAGAGCCAAACAGAAUAUACUUUGCAACAUGGUUUACGGUAACAUCAAUAUUCUAGUAACCAUAACAGAAAUCAAUUUUUUAAGAAGGGAUAUUACAAGCUAACUCCUGCCAUGAACACAGAUACUGAACAUUAACAGUGUAAGUAGAUUAAAUAUAAUAAUACAUUAAAUAUAACACAUUGAUCACAAUCUAAAAAGGAUUUACCCCCAAAAUACAAGAUUAGAUUAAUAUUUAAAAGAUCCAACCAGUAUCACUCAGAAUACUAACAGAAGAAGGGAAGAACCAUGCAAUCAUUUCAGAAGUGGAAACUUUUUUGGGUUUUUUUUGGAGACUCGGUUGUGUCAUGUGAUGUUUUUCUGGAAACUGUCGAGAGGAUUGUUUGCUGAGAGGAUGUGGGCAGAUGUUUUGAUGAGGACAGACAGGUAAUGUUUCUCUGGAAGCAGCCUGGAAGAAGGGCACGUGAUGCUUGGCUAGAGCAGACCCUGGAGAGAACAUGUUUGGAAAGGGGUAUAAGUACAACCCAACAGACAGUGGACAGUGCUGUGUGGUAUUGGUUUGCCUUGCCACUCUUUGCUGAUCGUCCUUUGUCAUGACUUCAUAGAGGAAAACACCACUACAAACUUCUGGUGGUGUUCUGGCGGCGGCCUCUUGCCACUUCCAUAGACGAGCCAAAUGGCAGAGCCUCAAAGUUUCUUCUGGAUCAGACUAUUGUUGCUGGUUUAUGAAUGGCGUUUGCAAGUGGACUGAGUUGCGCUGCUGCUGGUUUGUAUAAAUCGAACUGCUGAGAUCCUGACAACACAGAUUAGAUGCGUUCCAAAGAACUAUUUCUAAACAUGUCCACAUCCUCCUUUGUCCUAUUAACCUUCCCUUUCCACUACCUCUGCUGGGUGGUGGGCUAGAAGGGAGGUUAAAGCAUUUAAGAACCCUAGUUAAAAGUGGGUUUCAAGGGGUUGGGGAUUUAGCUCAGCGGUAGAGCGCUUGCCUAGCAAGCACAAGGCCCUGGGUUCGGUCCCCAGCUCCGAAAAAAAAAAAGUGGGUUUCAAAAAAUAUAAGCCUACACCUAUAGAAAAACCAUUUGACAAAAUUGUACUUGUAUUCAAGAUUUAAAAAAAAAAACUCUCAGCAACCUAGCAAAGAACUGUAAAACCAUCAUCUUAAAAGAUGUAACACUGAACAGAGUUUUCCUUUGUAAUUUGGUAAUAAAGUUUUAUUUGGUAAUAAAGCAAGAGGGCCCUCAUCAUCUCUCUUCAUCCGUGUACUGGCAUUCAUAGCCACUGCUCAAAGGGAGUGGUUCUCGCACCUUCCUGAUUCUGCGCCCUUUGAUACAGUUCCGCAUAUUGUGAAGAGCCCCAACCAUAAAAUUAUUUUGUUGCUCCUUCAUAACUGUAAUUUUGCUACUGUUAUGAAGCAUAGUGUAAAUAUCUGAAUGGAACCCUACGGGCUUGUGAGCCACUAAGAACCUCUACUCUAAAGCCAGAAAUAGGAAGAUUGAAAAAUCCAGAAAAAAAGAAGUGUCUUUAUUUGUUGAUGUACUAUUUCUUAUAAAGAAACAUCUAAAGAUUCUAUAAAAUUACUCUAUGACCUAGUAAAUGGUUUUAUGAAGGUCCUCAGUUAUAAGACUAAUAUAAAAAUAAAUUUUAUAACGUGUAGAUUCAGCGGUAAGCAUGUAGAAAGUGAAAGGUAAAGGUUAGCUUGUAAGGGGCAGAAAUACGAGUCUGAGAGAAGGAAGGGAAAGUGUAAGGCUCUACCACCACUGUCUUUGCUUUGUCACAGACUCAAAGCAGAGAAUGGAGCCCAGAUCUGAAAAUGAACUCCUUAAAGUGUACAGUCUGUAGAAGGAGACAUAGCAGAAACUUUUUAUGAACUUGGCAAAGACUUUGUUCAGUGAUGGCACCCAAACCAUAAUCCAUGAAAGACAAAGAUAAACUGGGUUUCACCCAAAUGAGGGAGGAAGGCAGCUGGGUGACAUGUUAUUAAUAGCUUUAAAAUUCACGCUUACACAAGUCACACAGCCAGCGAGGGCUAGAAAUUAACUCAGAGCAAUCUUUCUCCAGAAUUGACAGUUGCAUGUGCAAUGUUCUAGAAUGAAUUAUUUUCCAGUUGCAAGCUGCCAUGCAUGGAGCAGACUUCGGCAGCAUGGCUCUACCUCGGGACUCAUCAAUCCCGGACGCCUUCAGCUACAGCCUCCUCCUGGAUCGGGGGCAGCCCGAGUGCUGGAGCUGCAGCGACGCCCAGCUUUCAACAGGUCCCGCGAUGCUUCAUCACCAAAGAAAAAUGUUAUGACAGAGGUUACAACGGCCAUCUCCCCCGAAGCUUGCUAGCUCAGUCUUAAUGACUUGUUACUGCUAGAAACAAGGACUGUCCUCAUGUCAUCCUCAGCUAGGCUAGAGCCUGGCCCUUGGUCAAAGUAGUUCUUGGAGGGACAGAUGGGGUUUGGUUUGAACUCAGGCAGUGUGGGUCCUAUCAGCUGGCUCUGCUUCUGUUUCCUUCUUUCCUGCCAAUGUUAAACUCAGGACAAAAUACGUAGUAGGUUUCAGUUAAGAGUGUUUGAUGGAGAGAUGGCUUGUAGAUACCAUUCUCGUAUUUUAUGUUAUCUGUAUUUCUAAGCCACAGACCUCAGAUGGCCACAGUAGCCCUUCUGUGUUGUAUAAUAAAGCACGCACAACUCUCUUUAAAAUUAAGGCUCCACCGUAGUAGAUGGGGGGUCAGGAGCUUUCUGACAAGCUUCUAAGUGUCGAGACUGCCCACACAUGGACCACAUCGUGACCCCCAAGGCCAGAAGAUGUUAGUUCCCAAGUACAGUGUCCUUCUUCCUUCCAACCAAGUCAGAACCCAAGAACAAGGCACUUCAGUCCUUCCUGUCCUGAGAAGGAAGGCUCACCUGGUUCCUCUCAACUCUAGUGAACAUUCAUUUGAUUUUGAAAACAGCAAGAGCACACACUACAGCAGCAGGAAUGCCACCGGACCAGCUGGAGACCCGGGACUGCCAAGGUCAUGCUCACCACUUGCUGCUUACCACGGCCUGAGCAAUGGUGUCCCCCCACCUAGCCAGUACAUAUACUGAAAUAUUUUCCUCCCUUUCCCUCUCCUCCUCCUCUCCUGUUCACUGAGGUAGGUCAGACACGAAGGCAAAACCCUCAUCCAAGCGGUUAGUGUUUCUACAGAACAGGCCUGAAAAAGAUCCCUCACUUCCUCUGCGCAGGCGCGCACCGGACACUACAGUGCCUUCGUUAUAGACUUCGAAACCUCCAGGAUCAUGAGAAAUGUUUCUGCUGUGUAUAGUCUACCUGGCUUGCAGCAUUUUGCCACAGGGGGCUGCACAAAUUAAGAAGGGCUCUUAAAGAAACUGAGGCGUGUACAUUUGAAGGCUGUGCGGAGCUUUGCCUGGGGAAGGUGAGAUAGCCCAGGCUACCUUCUUUUGGUCAAACUUAUGUUCCCCCGCCAAAAAAUACUGGAAGCCUCCGUUGACUGUCCUCAGGGCCCCACGUAUGAGCUCUGUGCAACUUGCUGCUGUUCUUCUCAUGUUCUGCAAAGAACCUAACAAAUACAGGAUUUCCAUCGUGGUACAUGGCCCUAGGCCCCUGGGGAAGGAUAGCCCAUCCAUCACGUAUUCGGUGUGGCAUACUCCACCUGCUGACAAUCUCCCGAGCCAUGUGUGGGUGAGGAGAGAAGACUUUCGCUUCCAGGAGCCUUGCCCCCUGCUCAGACGCAGAAAGCCUGCAGCUAGGCAGUAGGAGUAGGCUGUUACACCUCAGAUCGUGCUUCCUACACUAUAAGUACUAUAUGGGUCAGCUCGGGGCACUACAGCUGGGAGGAGCUUCGUGGAAAGGGCUGGGCCAGGUUUGAUGGACAGGAGCAUAAGGUGAAACCAGACAGGGUGAACCCAAAGCAAAGAAGAAUGCAUAAGGAGGCCUCCAGGAGGCCAUGAGACAUUGCCUGGGUUUUGAAGCCUUUCUAUCUGCAUGUUUCUCUAAAGGGUGCCCGGUGAAAUGUUGCCCAGACAUUUCCAUCUCGGUACCUGUCAGGAUGGGGUAGUUUGUCCCACAACGGGGAGGGACCAGAGGAUUUGACCCCAGUAAACAAAAUGGAGGUAGGAAGGAAGCAAUGCUUACAUUUUCCUCCCAAACAAGGAGGUGGCUAUCAGUAACCUGGGCAUUCAGUAGGACAGCAUCAGGAACUGGAUUAGGCGACCUGUGAGGAGUCGCCUUCCAUCAUUCCUGGGUCUCCUGCAGGAACCGAUGUGAAGGUCAAGCUCCAGACUUUCUGGCCCAUGGAACCACAGCAACACUGCUUCCUAUGAGCUCCUGCUGCUCUUCUGCCUUAGAGAGCUCUGCCCUUACACGUGUUAAAGUGUCUGUGGGAUAAAACGCCUUAGCUGUUUGGCAGACGAUGGAAGAAACCAGGGAAACCAAGUGGCCCCAGCUCUCCCACCUGACAGGUUGCUCUUUAGAAGAAUAGGGAGACGUAGACUUCCUUAGAGUCGGCCUCCACAGUUGCCAAGAACCUCUACCUGGCCGGUAAAUUUCUUAGGCGCUGCAGCUGAACCACGAGGAAGGCCUUGGGGAUUUACAGUGACUGUAGAAUCAGAGCCACAGCACAGGCUUCCACAGGAGCAGCCAGCAUCCAGCCCUUACUGCUUGCAGCUUCUGCUCAGGAUGGCUUUGAGGACCUUGAGCUAUGUGGCAUUCAGAGGUAGGUAGGCAGUACAAUGGUGGGAACAGCAGUGCAGUCUCCUGCCGUGGAUGCUCUAGGUGUAUGGGACAUAUUGCUAACCCAUAAUGACCAAGAAUGCAAGGUCUUUAAAAUACAAAGUGAAAAUUUACAUCUCUUUCAUUUCAUUUGAUUGCCCAUACUGCCAUGUAUUUUUUGCUCACAGAACAAGGCAUUUUCCUUUCAAGGCUUAAGUCUUCUAGAUCGGCACUCAGCCAGCCGUUCUCUGUUCAUUUGCCUAGCGACACUCUGUCUCAUACAUAAGGGUUUCUAACCUUGUCUUAUCAUCCCCUGAAUUGGAAUCUCCUUUAGAACAGGCGCGAAGGAUAUGAUGCAAGGAAAGCUGUCAGGGUAGCACCUAGAAUGUAGUGGUAGCUCAACACAUGUCAGAUAUUGCUAUUGUCAUCGUCGUCAUUGUCAUCGUCAUUGUCACUAUCACUGUGCUUUGCAUUAAACCAGUGAGAUUUUAAGUUUCUUCAGGCAACAGACAGGAGCUAAAUAAGUACUAGUUAAAUUUUAUUGAGAGGAUACAGUAUCAAGUAAAUCGAAUGGUGGGUUAGAAGGUAGCAUAACAUAAAGACAAGAAACAGAAUAUCAGGGUGGCACAUGCCUGUAAUCCAAGCUAACGAGCUAUGUGGGGGUUGAGACAGGAGGAUCUCAAGUUCAAAGCCUUGGCUAGCUUAAAGAGACCCUGUCUCAAAAUGAAAAGCCCUCCUCUCUUGUCUCUCUCUGUCUCUGUCCCUCCCUCUCUCCUCUCUCCCUGCCUCCUCCCCCCUUCCCUCUCUGAGCCUGGCCAUAGUUGAAGUGUUUGAGCACUUGCCUAGCAGGUGUGAUGUUGGAACCGACUGUCCAUCCUUGGGAAGUCUCUGCUUCCCUGACUACUGUCUCACUCCCUACCAUUCAUAAGAACCGAAGGAUUAUCCAAUGGUGCCUCCAGCUGUGACUCCAGCUGGACAGCCAGCUGUGCCUGGGCCCCAGCGAGUCUCACAGAGGUGCCUUAAAUGAAAAUGUUACCAACUAGAACUAGGUAGACGUGUACCUUAAGAAAAAAAGAAUCCCAACAAUAUCAAGAAGGUUGGCGCUCCAUUCUGACUGAAGAAACUAAAUUGCCUUUUUCUCUGCUUGUCUUUGCAAACCACUUCGUGUGUUAAUUUUAUGAACCUUCAGUUCUUCCCCCAAACAGAUGCAGAAAGACUCACUUUAAGGGUUGUAUUUUUAUACACAGACUUAUGUGAGCCCUCCUUCCCUGUAGCCCUCCUUAAGGGAGGGAGUUUGUGUGGCGCCUCCUUAUAUCUCUUUAGGACUCUCUGUAAUGAGAGCGUUACAGAGGUCAGCCUGCAUCCCAGAUCUCCUGUCAGCUGGACAACUCUUGGGGACAGCUACGUCCGAAGGCAGUAGCUGUGGAGACUAGAAACCUGUGCUCUUACCCCAAAGUGGAAUAGCUCUGCAGAUCGCUAGACUCCAAAGUGCCCGACAAGGUCAGCCAAGGCCAUUGAUGAGAGAGCAUGAUGACCAGUGAUGACCAGCAGCAGCUCCUACUAGAACUCCCUCCCACCCGCAGGACUGUCCAGGAUGCUCCCUCACAAGUGUUCUGCACACUGACUCCCACCCCGGGGAGCUCAGCAUGGGAUUCCAGCCAGGGGGAAUUAAUUUGUUCCUAUUCCUUGUCCUCUAGUGCACAGUUGCCUGGAUUCUGUCUGUUCCUAACCACAGCCUGGUUUUCCUGGGACACCCAAUGCUUUAAUUGCUAUAUUAUUUCAUUCCAUGUAGCAGUGCCUUUUGUUUUCAAAGUAUUCCCAGUUUGAACAAUAAAUCACGUAGGACACCCUCGUAUCCCCGGGCCUCGUAGACAGGGGGCAGAAGUUAGAUCAUGUUGACAUAAUCUGAAUUUCCUGAACACACACACACACACACACACACACACACACACACACACACACACACACCUUACAGUGAGUCUUUCACAUCUGUCUGGAAAAAGAGCUAUACCAUUGGAAUUCUCUUAAGCAUGUCCUUGGGACCUCAGCAUCCUCAGAGGCUGUAUGGGCUGGCCCUAACUGGCUUCUUCCCCAGGAUACUGUGUGACCUUAAGAAGCCAAUCCACUCUCGCUUGGUCAGACCGUACCUCAGCCCCGCAGUCAACCUCCUUUGAGCUGUUACUCAUACCACAGUGUUGAUGGCCUCCUCCCCAACCCACACCUCUUCAACUGCACAGUCCUGCGUGCAGCUCCUGUGGUUCAUGUGGCCUCUGAGCACCUCACUACCACAGCUCCGGGAGGCACCCGCAUGCUCACCCAGGCUAGGCUUCGCCUCUGUAUUCAAUAAUUCCUUCGGAUGUCCAUAGCUCAUGGAAUAAACCAGCACCUUUCUGGGCAGAAGAGCGGACCCCAUGUGUGUGCGUAGUCUGUCUCAAUGUACCUACAGGGCUCAUUCCAAGAACUCCCAAUUAUGUCGGAAACCUUUACUUAUACCAAUCAUAUUGGCUCACUUUUUCCUUCCAGAAGUUUUCUCACACCCUGUAUAAGCGUCACAAACAGAUGUGGGGAAAUUGUAUCUAACUCUAGGGGAGCCAGGUCUGGGUAUAGGCAGCCCUUGAUUGGCACACAAGUGCAGGAACCGUAAAAGGUGACUACGUAAUUGAAACCAUACAAGGUAACCUUAAUAAUCAGGAAGGGAAAUCACAAUUGCCCUGUGACCUUUAAAAGUUUUUGUCAAAACAUAAAAAAAAUAAAUAAACCAACCUUGUUGUUGGUUGUAAAUGCAGAGGGAAAUGAAAAAUUAGUAAAAAAAAAAAAAUAAUGAUGAUUUUAUUAGCCUAUAACUUAAAACAUUAGAAACACGGAUAAUUAAAGUAUUUUAUUCCUGUGUUAAAAGCUUAUCAAAUAUAGUCCGAGCAGCCCUCCCUCCUCCCUCUCGGCCUGUGACACGGAUCUCCACCACCAAGCAUCGUUCCUGCCCUGGGGAACGGCCACACUUUGUUCUAAGUCUGGAUCUGCCUGCGGAUUGCCGGUUAUGCUCUUGUGAUGCCAUAAUGCCCCACGAGGACUCUCUGAGCUGCAGUUUCCUGCUGGCUAUUUCAGUUCUCUGGGGCCUGUGCAUACCUAUGCUUGACCUCCUCCAGUCCGUCACUUCCAAACCUGUGGUCCAAGGUUCGUUUGACCAGGCCCUUCCUCUGUCUACUUAUAACCACCAUUUUCUAUUUGUGCAGCAUCUGAUUCCAUUGGGCAAAUUAACUAGUAUUUUGAAAUAUCAGUUGCUGACCCAAAGCAGAAGGCGGCACUCUAUUUUGACCUCAGCUCUCUAUGCCUACUGUGAUGUGAACGGGGGAUGCUGAGGUGACUGUACCCUCUCCGGUACCCUCUCUGGGUUCUUCCAGUGUGGCUUGGAUGAGACCUUCAUGCUGUCUGCUUCAUCCUAACUUUGCCCUCGUGUCCCCGCCGCCACUCCCAAUGCCUUCUACUCUCAUUCAAUUUCCUUUUCAGCGGCCAUCUCUUUGUUUCUUGGUUGUAUUUCUGAUUUCGGAGGCUCACCCUCUAUUACCCAUCGUAUAUAUAAUUUAAACCUACAUAUUUAGGCCUACAUAUGGCUUUUCACUGGCAGACGAGCUGCUCUUACCAGCCCAUGCUUGGCUGUCUGUGUAUGACCUAACAGAUGAGCAGCAACCAAUCACAGACAGACCCUCAAAGAGGUGCCGUGAUUGGCCACGCCCUGGUACGCCGACAGUCUUUGCCUUGUGGUUUGCGAGCUGACGGUAAAACAAAUGGUUAGCAUUUAAAACACAGACUUGCUUUGCAUGGAGAGAUACGUACAAGUUUGAGAUUAGUUAAAAAAAAAACGGUCCCUGGCAACUGGGUUCAAAUUGCAGUAGAACUUAGACCGCAUGCAGUGACAGUUAAUAUACCGCGGUGGCUGCAAUUCAAGCAGGUUGUUGGGAGUGGUAUUAGUCGGCAAAACGAAACUCAUGCAUACCAGUGCUGGCAAAGCAAGACGUGUCUUAUUAAUGUCAUUUACCCAGCAUCUGUGAGUAUAUUCACAGCCCUGGGUCCCUCCUUGUAGUUGGGUGGAGUAGCCCUGGGGAAUGGUGAGGAGACGUGCCACAUAGAAGUCAGACUGUCAGAGAAGGACAUCUGCGUCUCAGAGUGACUCCAGAGAGGAAGUCCUCUGCCAAGCUGUCUUAGGGUAGAAGCAGCCCUUUGCUUCAUGGCACUGAGGCACUGGGGUUAUUUCAAUAACACAAUAUCCCAUUUGUUUGGAUUGACAUGAAGUGCUUUGGAGAACUCCUGGGGGAGCUGGGGAGACCGUGGCAGCAUUCCGAACCCAUAAGUUGGCAGCCGAGAGUCUGAAAAACUCCAAAUUAGUGGCGGGAAGAUAGAAAAGAAUUGCAGUCAUAGAGAUAAAGAAAAAAGAAAAAACUUUAUAUGUUAAAAAUAAGGGAAAGUCUAAUUAUAGAAAGUAUAUGCAUAGUGAAACAAAUUAUGAAAAAAGAAAGUCUUGCAACUUGCUGUGGAGUGAAGAAAUGAAGUCCUGGGAUGUCCAGGUUUGCCUUGCCCCUCCACAGCCCUCCUCUCUGUCUGCGAGUCACCCCUUCAUGACAACGUUUCCCUUCCUUCCUUUAGGAUAUUACCAGUCCCCGUGCACAUCCUUCAGCACGGGAUUUAGCUUUUACUCUGUAGGGACUGUGCAUGCCAGUGAGCUACAUCAGCCUGCUUUUAAAACAAUGUGUGUAUUUGUUUUAUUUUCUGUGUAUGCAUGUUCUGUAUGUAUCUAUGUGUGUACCCUGUGCAACCUGUUGCCUUCAGAGAUCGAAAGAGGGCAUUGGGUGCCCUGGUCACAGGCCAUCGUGUGGGCACUAGGAACUGAUUCUUGGUCCUCUGAUCUGAGCCAGUGAGUCAUCCCUCCUGGCCACACCAGCUCAUCUCAUGUUAUCGAGAUCAGGGUCUUACUAAGUUGCACAGACAGGCCUUGAACUUACAAUCCUCCUGUGUCUUUGAACAUUGUAUUUUUCCUCUCACACAGCUAGGAUUGCAGUCCCCCCGCCUCUCUCUCUCCCUCCCUCCCUCCUCCUCUUCCUCCUCUUUCCUCCUCCUCCUCUUCUUCUUUCUUUUCUUUUUUCUUUUUCUUCUUCCUCUUCCUCUUAUUUUUCUUUCUUCUUCUUCUUCUUCUUCUUCUUCUUCUUCUUCUUCUUCUUCUUCUUCUUCUUCUUCUUUUUCUUCCUCCUCCUCUCUCUUCCUUUUCUUCCUCCCCCCCGUGUGUGUGUGUGUGUAUGUGCAUGUGUGUGUAUGUGUGUGUGCAUGUGUGAGUGUGUGUAUGUGCAUGUGCGUGUGUGUGUGCGUGUGUGUGUGUGUGUGUGUGUGCACAUGGAUGCUGGAAGACAAGCUUAGGUGUUGGUCCUCGUGUGCCAUGGCCCUAUUUUUAAGACAAAGCCUUUCAUUGGCCUUAAGCUCACCAAGUAGGUUGGGUUGGCUGGUGGUUGAGGCCCAGGGAUCCACCUGUCUCUACCUCUCCAGUGUUGGGAUUAGACAUUAGACAUGACGCCAUCACGGUCUGCUCCACCCGCCCAGGGGGACUGAAUUCAUACCCUCAAGCUCAAGGGGCAACCACUUUACCCUCCAGUGCACCAAGACUUGUCUUUAGAAAACAUUUUAGGGCCCCGCUUAUAGUACAGCCACCUCCCUCAUCCCGCUCCUCUCCCCUGUGUUUGUUACCUGUUUGUCUGUAAAACUUCCCACAAUUAAGCAUCUCAAGCUGCUAUUGGUGUGUUUCCUUUAAUUUCCUGUCUGCUCACUGGAUCUAUAGGUCCAGUUUAGAUCUGAUUCUUUUGAGCAAGAUGGCCUCAUAAGAGGUGAGGUACAUAAUCACCUACAAAAACACACACAAACUCACAUACGCGUGUGCACACACACAUACAAACACAUGCACAUGUGCGCGUGCGCACACACACACACACACACACACACACACACACACACACACACUGUAACACUCUUUAAUUCUAAGAUUGUGCCUAGAUCUACUCGUUUCUUGGGCUUUCCAAAUGGUGAAUUCAGAUUCAGAGCAUGUUCUGUUCUGUUUGAUUCGCUGCUACAGUUAGCCCAGAAAAACUAGGAUGAAUGCCUGACUUUCUGGCCUUGAGCUCCAAGCUCUGUCAUACACGGGUAAGUUUCUGAGGUCUGAACUUUGCAAAAUAAUUUAAUCAAGGCCAAGAUGUUUCCAUUAGCCUUUCUCUAAAUCCUCUCAUCUUAGAGGUUGGGCCGGGCCCUGAGCACCUUACAGGAGUCUGAACACUAAGGCCCAUUUCUCAAACAUUCCCUCAUGCUAUUUUUUGGGUUACAAACAAGUUGCCUCAAGCCCAAACCCACCCUGCAGGAAUGUCUGGCUUGGGCCAGCACAGAGUGCUUUUGCUUGGUGGUUUGUUUUGGUUUUAAACUCAACAAGACUGGAAUUAGGUAGGGGCCAUAUUCUCCAGAGGUAGCUCAGAGACCCCAGCCUCCUUGUGCAUUCUGUCUGCCUGGUCUCCCCAGCCAGUGCUACACAGACAGAAGCCCAUAUUUCUUUUUCUUUUAUUUCACGAGGACCACUCAAGGAAGCAUGAUAAGAGGAAGCCUAAGAUAAUAUUUGGUUGUGGGGGUUAUGUUUUUGAUGGUCCAUUUUCAUUACAUGCCAGGCAGAGAAGUAAAGAAAGACCCACAUGGCAGGUGGCAGAAGCUGGAGUCCAAUGCUAAUAGCUGGAAAUAUAAGUGAUUUCGGUUACACUUCCUUUUAGGAGAGAUUUCUUCUUUCUUUUGUCUGAGGCACUCCACAGGAGGAGACACAAUGGAAAGGUGCAAGGGAAAUCCAAGAAGUUAUGCAGGCCAGAGGGUGUUUAGCCAUGAAACUUGCUUUUGCCACUCCCAGAAUGAAAAGUCAGCCAGGAGGAAAGGAUUUAUUUCACCCUACACAUCACUGGAGGAAGUCAGGGCAGGAACUCAAACCAGGCAGGAGCCUGGAGGCAGGAACUGAUGCAGAGGCCAUGGAGGAUGCUGCUUACUGGCUUGCUUGCUCAGACUGCUUUUUUAUCGAACCGAAGACUAUCAGCCUAAGGAUGGUGCCACCUACAAUAGGCUGGACCAUCUUCCAUCAGUGACUAAGAAAAUGCUCUGCAGGUUUGCCUGCCGCCUGAUCUUAUGGAGGCAUUUCCUCAAUCGAGGCGUCCUUCUGUCCGAUGGCUCUAGCCUGUGUCAAGUUCACAUAAAAAUAACCAGUACAUAUACUUUUAUUUUACUGUGGGCACACACCACCACGCCCAGUCAGAAGGCAGAGGGCAGCAUGGGAGAAGCUAAUUCUGCCCUUCAAACAUAGUUGCUGGGGUUCAAAGUCAGGUCGCUAGGCUUGGUGACAAGAACCUUGACCCACCAACCCAUCUCAACAGCCUCGGUUUGACUUCUGCAUGGUGUUGCCUUUCUCAUCCCUGCCACACAGGCCCACAGUUAGCAGAUGACUUACUGUAGAUGAAGGAGAGGGAGGUUGAGAAUGUGGCCCCCCUCCCAGUUAUGCAUUCUGGGUUUUCAGGUCACAACCCCAGCUCUGGCACUGACUGGGUUAACCUGAGUUAAUUCUUCAUGCCUUGGUUUCCUCCCUUGUAAAAAUGGAGAAACCAUAAACUCUUGUGGACUGCUGAAGGGAUCCGGUGGAAAAAGUGCUUAGGCAGCUCGUGGGCAGUGUCAGCAAACACUUGCUAGUUCCAAGAUCUCAAGGUUUCUGAGUUCAUCCAUUUAUUACACGCUACUCUGCAGUGAUCAUCUGUGUUUGUCAAAAUAGAUACACAAAGAAUGAAAAGACGGUCCCCUCUGCACGCCAUGCUGCACUCUGCCCAUCCUCUCUCCCAGUGAGUCUCUGCACAGCUUCAUGGGCAACCCGACCUUCCUCUCACCAACACACCCUACUUCACAAGGCACUGAGCCCAGGUUACCCUCUCCCUUCGCCUACAUCUUCUCAGAUCGAGUUCAAGGCCUACCUUGCAACAAGAUGUUUUGUGUUUCAAGAGGACCAGCCCAAAUUCUCAUAAGAACAGAUGGAAUGUUUUAACUACACAAUUGAAAAAGUCCAGGGAUAGACGUGGGUCUUGGCUUCAUGUAGGGUCUCAUUGGAAGUCUUGAGGACCCAGCUUCAUCUACUGGCCCAGCCUGGUCUCUUCUGUCCCCACUUUUAGAAUCUCUCCCUUGUGUCAACAAGUUUUCCAUGCAAAAUGGACUGAAAGUUAGAGAGAGAGAGCGAGAGCGAGAGCGAGAGCGAGAGCGAGAGCGAGAGAGAGAGAGAGAGAGAGAGAGAGAGAGAGAGGAACCCUUUCCUAGCUACUUCAGCAGGCAAGCAUGUGCUCCUUGGUGGUGAAUGGGUCACAAACCCAUGCAUGAGCCAAUCUUGCAGUUUGAGAUUUAGAGAAUUCAGUGUUCCUACCUACAAGCCCUGCCUCAAAACAUCUCCUGGCUGAAAGCUUCUUUGACCCUUAGCUCAGGGAAGGCACAAGGUCUCUCUAGCUCUCCUCAACCUUUUUUUUAUCAGGUGAACAAAUAACUCAGGGCACAGACUGGGGACCCAGUCAAUAGAGUCCUCUCUCACACAGGAAAGCCCAAAUAGGCAACAUGUCGCCCACUACCACCACAAGCUGCUGUGGGAGCAGGGAGAAGUGUAGGCAUAGCCUUAUUUUUUUAGAGGAAGAGAAAAAUCACAAACCAGUUGAAAAGACUCGUUCAGGAGAACACAGACCACACUCCUGUCACCCCUUUUCCAGCUGUGUACCUCUGAAUAAUCUCUCCGGGCAUCACCCCAUUAACCUUGGUUAGAGGGCUGCCAGGUCACAUUUGAUGACCUGCUGUCACCUGCUCCACGGAACGCUUACAAACCACAUCUCUAUCUAACCACCACAAUUCCCUCAGCGGACAAUGUAGGUCAGUUCCCUACUCGGGUCGGGGCUGGAGAGAAGAGCAAAGUGUGUCAGAGGUGAAGGGUGCCACCCUGGUGAUGCUUCUGUGCUUGCCCCAUAGCUCUGAUCCCCCUCUGCCUCAGCCUCCCCAUCUGUGAGAAGCACAUAAUUCCUGCCUUGUCUGGUCUAACCGUGUGCAGAUUCAAUGAAGUGAGUUAGACACGGGCAUUCAGAACAGGGUCUGGCACUCGCUAGGCACAGACACCAUUGGCUGUUGGUUCUGCAUGCUUAGGGGCCUGCAGAGCUCUCAAAAGUGAUGUCUGAGAGAGCAACAAGCCCAAGGCUGUCACCUUAGGAGAAGGUGUAUUUCUGGCCAACCUGAGACCAGGAGGAGGUGCAUUUGGGGAUCUCGCCUUCAUCCUGGACAUUGAGUACUCGCUUCACGGUAGAGAUUGGACACUGCUUCAUCUUCCAAUUCCAGGGGUUUGGACAUUGUGUUAGCCCUGAAGUGUCGCAGCCUGCGUUUCCCAGGUGUGUCCUGACAGGCCGGAUGUGGCCUCGUUCUCCAGCAAGCUCAUGCCAGGAGCAGCUCGAUUACGGCCUGGGAGGUCCUCUGGAAGCCAAGACUCCUGGUGGCCCCAAGGGAGUACACAAAAAAUAUUCUAUUCACAAGCAACAGGUGGUUCUGAGAAGCCAAUGAAUGUUCUAGAUGCUCUCUGUAGAAGUGCACAAAGACAUGUGCAAGUCCAGUUUGGGGAGGCCCUGUGGUCUCAGAAGACCAUCGUGAAAGCAGAACCACAGCUUGAUCUAAACAAAGGACCUUCAGUGCGGCUGCUGGGGAAGAGUCUAGAAAAGUGGCCCACUGACGGUGUGCAGAACCAGGUCGUGGGUCCUACGGAUGCCGAGGGACAGCUGCUUCUACUCUCUGACAGUCAGAAGGGCCAGAGCCUACCUACCGGUCAUGACUCAUGCACAGUGGUGCCCUUUGGUGUUACUAUGCCUGUAACUCUACAGUGACCACAACCAUCGCCAGAACACUCCCCAGGGGUUAAGGACAAGCACGGAGGGAGGAGAGGGGGCAAGGAUUGAAGGCAUAGAGAGAAUGGCAGAGAGACUUCCCCACUGGGCCUCGCCUCCCCAGAAGAGACGUUCAAACUCUGAAGCCACGUUGGGUCGUCAAGAACGGUGUCAAGUCAGAGUGGCCUCAGGACUGCAGAGACACAGAAAUAUUCUAGAAAAUCUUCGGAGACAUAAUGAGAACUGACAAGGUCCCUCGGGUCCCGGAACAUCUUGAUGAUGGGAACAGAAAAGAGGUUCCCGAAAGAGGUGCACGGGGACAUUUGUUGUGCUCCAGCUAUGUACAGACAGUUGGUUGAGUCCUCACAAGGCCUGGAAAAGAAAUUAUCAUUUUCCUUAUUAGCAAGUGAAGAGACGUGUGGCAGAUAUGCUCAAAGUUUCAGUUGGUCACAGGUUCAAUUUCCACACUGUGAGGUCUCAAGCCUGAGAGCGUUCUCUACAUACGAUGAGGGGAGGGCAUUCAGCUCUGCUUUAUUCCAGGACAAGACACAGAUCAGGCCCCAGUCACUUCUGCUGGGUCCACACUGCUCGGAAUCCCGGAUGAUGCAGGACAGACACCUGUGUGGAUGCUACAUCCGGGAUGCCAAGAAGUCCAGCUGCCGAGACACCCAGGAAGAGCCAGUUUGCCUCUCUAGUUUUCACAAAACAGGGGUGCUCCCGUGAACAUGAAAACUGUUGCUGGAGUUGCCAUUGCUCAGGACCUCUGCAGCCUAAAGAUGGGCCAUCAUCAAGGCCUGCAAAACCAAUGCUGAGGAAAAGAUCAUUGUUUCUUAAUAAUAAACAAUUUUAAUAUGUU